UCAAAGAAAAUGAAAAAUCAUUUCCAAGUCUCCUAUUUAACCAUGGACUUGAUUAGCCUACAACACCAUUCACCGAGAAAAGAAAUAUUCAUCUCACUUGAAAAUCCACCCCAUCUUCUUCACCAUCAAAAUAAUUUGGCAAGAGCUUGACAUCAACCUUGAAGCAUUUCCUUCGAUUUUCCUCCAUCUUUUCUUUCGGUCAUAUUUUCUUUCUCCGAUUUUAAGGUAAGAAAUUCGAUUUCUUGCUGCAAUUAAAUGGCAUCAAUAGUAUUAAAAUGGUUUUCAAAAUUACUUAAAAGAUUGGGGAAGAUUUCGAAGAAAUUAGUAUUUUUGUGGAAAAAUGGAAAAUAUGUGUUUAAUGUUGAUUUCUUGUUCUUGCAUGCAUCAUCUAGGUUGAUAGUGGUUAGAUACAUCUUUUAUUGGCCAAAAGAAUAAAAAUUUCAGAUUUCAAAAAAAAAAAGGAUUUUCAAGAAAAUGAGAUUUUUAACUUUUUGUGGUUGCAUGUGUAGAUCUUCGAAAGUUUGGGCCAAAUCUGUAAUUUUUGUAAAGUUUGUCCGAAAAAUGUUUUCAAAACUGUUUUCUAACAUUUAUUGAACUAAAAUUUCGGAUUUAAAGAAUUUUUGUAAGAAAAAGUUGAUUUGGAUAUUCUAUUAGGCUUGCAUGUGUAGAUCUAGAAAUUUUGGGGCAAAUUAUGCAAUUUCCGAAAUUUCUGCAUAAAGUGACUUUUCAACUUCAUUUUCUGCAUCUAGUAAAAUGGAAUUUCAGAUUUGUUAGGGGUUUUCAUGAAAAAGUUGAUUUUGAACUUCUAGUGGAGUUGCAUGUGUAAAUUUCGAAACUUUUGGGUCAAAACUGCAAUUUCCGAAAAAUCUCUCAUUUUUAAAAGUUUGGAUCUGUUUUUCAGCAAGUAUUAGAUAGGAAAAAGUUUUAUUUAACAAGUUUUUAAAUUAAUUAGAGUUAUGUUAGAGUUUUGGAUUUUAAAUUGAAAAAGGGAUUUUCCUAGUUUUAAUUUCAAGAAAAUUCGAAACUUUGUGAAAAUUCAAAUUUAUUUCAGAAUCUGGAAUUUGAGUCAGUUAGGAGUUCUAGGAUUUAAUUUGGGAAUUUUUGGAACUAGUUUGCUAAUAUUUUCGAAAUUUGGAUAAUUGCAUGUCAUUUACAUAUGUUUGUGCCUUAAGUGUUCAUAUUUUGAUUUAAUGGUCAUGAAUUAUGAAUUUUGGUAUUUUUGUACUUUAAUUGCUGUUGGAUGUGUUUAAUGGCUGUGAGAAAUUGAUUGAAAUGGAUUAUUACCUAGAUGUGGUAAUAAGUUCAUUAAAUGAAGAUAAAAGGUAUUUGUUCUUAAGCUUGCUUUGAUGAGUAAUUAGUAAUGUUUAAUGUGUUGAUUGUGCACGAGUGUGUGCUGAAAAUGAGUGAACGUAUGGGUGCUGAUUAUGCAUGGUGUGUGUGCCGUGUGUGGUUGUGUGUUCAUGUGUGUGAAUUUGGGAUUUUUGCCCAAAUCAUAAUUAUGUGGUAAAUUGUGGUAUUUGUGUGAUUGGUGACACUUGAUUGACAUUUGUGAUGUUAUGUGUGGGUCAUAAGCAUAAUUUCGAAAAGUUGCAUAAAAAUGAUUUUAUUUGAAAGGUUAAUGGAAUAUCGGGUAAUAAACAACUCGGAUAUAGUGGGCCGGUAUCCAACUAGGAUGAUGUGGUAGUGGUUUGAUUCCACUUAGUGAAAACGGGCUCGUAACAGGUUUAUUAUCCGGUACAGAAAUUAAUCCUUCACGGAUCCGAUAAACCGAAAAACGUGUUUUUCAUGAUUUUCACAAAAAAAAAAGGGCAUUUUAGUCAUUUUGCAUAAUUACGUGAUCUUAUUAAAUGAUGUGUUUUCGUGAGAUAUGUGAUUUGACCGAUUGCCGUGUGUUGUUGUGCGAAACGUGGGUAAGAACGGGUAUAUAAUAUUAUAUAUUAUGUAUAACGUAUUUCCAAAGUUUGAUAUUACUCGGAUUUCUUACUGAGCUUUAUAGCUCAUAUAGAUGUCUUUUAAUUGCAGGUAGUAGUAAUCCUCAACCGGGAUGGGUCGAGUAGUGGAUCGAGGUCUUGCCCGGAGUUUUGGAAGACGUACGAGGACCUAUGAACGAUGCUAGACUUUUGGUUAUUUUCUUUUGGUGGUGUAAACCUAAACCGUAAUAUUUCCCUUUCGUACCUUUGAACUCGUUUUUCAUUAUGAAUCGUACUUAAUUCCUACUUUAA
rnacentral:lncRNA from 1 species